AAGUCGUAACAAGGUUUCCGUAGGUGAACCUGCGGAAGGAUCAUUUCCAAAAAAUCAAGCAUUGCCUUAUUAUAUACACCUUUUGGUGUGUGAACAGUUGGUUUAGAAAAAUCAUUUUACUCUCGAAGCGGAUUAGCAUCUCGAAUGCUACUGUGGAGAGAGGCCUUGAUGAACCCACAUCCUUUUUGUUUAUAUUGCUCAGGCAAUAUCUACAAAAGGACGUUAACAUAAAGUCAUACUAUAUUUCUAAGUCAAAAAGACUUAUUGCUACAUCUCGUAUGUACAAUAUGUCAAUUUACUCUAGUAAAUAUACGACAACUUUUAACGGUGGAUCUCUUGGCUCGU
rnacentral:misc_RNA from 1 species